rnacentral:snoRNA from 1 species
CCCUGUCUGGUGAUGAAAACAAUUACGGAUUAGAGAGUUACGACUCGAGUGUCCGAGAGCGCAAAAAUCAUGUGGAUUUCUCCGUUGCCUUCCUUCUGACCUUCUUA